rnacentral:rRNA from 1 species
UACGUAGGGACCAAGCGUUGUCCGGAAUCAUGGGGCGUAAAGAGCGUGUAGGCGGCUUGUUAAGUCUUGCGUGAAAUCUCGGGGCUCAACCCCGAGCGGUCGUGAGAAACUGGCAGGCUAGAGUGCGGGAGAGGAGAGUGGAAUUCCUGGUGUAGCGGUGAAAUGCGCAGAUAUCAGGAGGAACACCGGUGGCGAAGGCGGGCCUCUGGGCCGAUACUGACGCUGAGGAGCGAAAGCGUGGGGAGCGAACAGG